UCUCCUUUGCAAACAAAUUAGGGUGGAGAAAAGGUCGAAAUGUAACAAACUAACAAUAGAGACUUUGGCGCUCUCUUCAUUCCAAAUCUCAACGCUCCGUAAGCGUCGACUUUCCUCUAUUCCUUACUAUUUCCGAGUUCCUUCCAGAGCUGCGUGUUUUAUCUUCCGUCGUGAGACCAGAAGGUUCUACUAAUGUGGGGAGUUGACAUGGAACCCAAGCUAGAAACCAAUGCCGUAAAGCCCACCCUGCCCUCCAUUGGAACGAAAGAAGAGGACCAACAGAAUAGUAGACCAGUCUCAUACAGAAUGUCUGCCAGAAGUGCCCAAAUUCGGCUUGUGAGCUCCCAUCCUGAGGUUUAUGAACCCUGUGAUGAUUCUUUUGCGUUGGUUGAUGCACUACUAGCUGACAGAAAUAACCUCUUAGAGCAUAAGCCCACAUUGUGCAUGGAAUUGGGUUGUGGUAGUGGUUAUGUGAUUACAUCACUAGCAAUCAUGCUAGGGCAGGAGGGUGCUGGUGUCAGUUAUUUUGCAACUGAUAUUAAUCCACAUGCAGUGAGAGUGACCGGGGAAACGUUGGAGGCCCAUGGGGUCCACGCGGAGGUAAUGUUGAUGGAUAUUGUAUCUGGGUUGGAGAGACGGUUGGCUGGUAUGGUGGACGUGAUGGUUGUGAACCCACCUUACGUACCAACACCAGAAGAUGAAGUGGGUCGCGAUGGGAUUGCUUCUGCUUGGGCAGGAGGUGAGAAUGGGCGGAGUGUCAUUGACAGGAUUCUACCCAUUGCAGACAAACUUUUGUCGGAAAGUGGCUGGUUGUACAUGGUCACGCUAGCUGCUAACAACCCCUCACAAAUAUGCCGUAUGAUGAGAGAGAAGGGCUAUGCUUCGCGGAUUAUUGUCCAGAGAUCCACUGAGGAAGAGAGCCUCCAUGUUAUUAAAUUCUGGCGGGAUACUGAAAUUCAAGUGGGAACUAAGGAGCAAAUCGCAGAAAAUAGAACUCCUUCAGUACUAAUGGAAUCUCUAUGGUCACAAAUUCCUCGCUUGGCUUUCUGGAGGAGUGGCAGCCGUGACAGCUAAAUGCAGGAAACAGGCAUGCUUCAUUUUAUUGUGUAAUUACUGGAAUUGUAGAUUCAUGGAUUUGUUUGUUUCUUCUGCAUUAUAUGGUGGUAUUGGUGGAUUCAGAUGUUCCUGAAUUCACCAGAAGUAAGUAAUUCUCUCACUGAAUAUUUAGAUUAUUUCACUGAGUCUGUUCAGCAAACCUUUGUUUGAGUUGUUUCCAAUACACAUUUGGGUAAGUAGGUGUAGUUCAUCUCUGUUUUGGGGGAAGGGGGGGGGGUCGUCUUAGAUGUAAAAUGACCCUCCCUAUGUUUUUAGAGUCUUGGAGAUUUCUAACCUGUAUGUCCCAUUCUAAUACUGUAUUUUUGGUCGUUGAUUUUGUUUGAGAAUGCCAAUUGGCUGGCUUUAGAAUUGUUCCAAAAAUAGCCCAAUUUUGUCUGAGUAUAUUCCACCUUUGAAUGCAAAUCACUCACAUGUGACUGACUAAACCAUAUGGAAGGUCAUUAACAAGAACAAAACGAGACCUUUGGAACAGUCAGUAUUUAUUUCUCAGUGUUGUCUAUUCCGUUUCCCUCCAUUCUUUCGAGUCAGGAACCGAUUUUUUCACUAAUCAACUUGCAAUUUGAAUGUUUUAAGGCAUAAAAUCAUGAAGGUGUCCCAGUAUGGAAUGUUAGAACUGCAAUUACAUAAUCCAGCAGAAAUAUUGAAAGGAAGCUAAGGUCCUUUCUGCUCAAGGGUAUCUCUCUGUUUUUUCCUUGGAGGAGAUCUGCCAAUUCAGUUGCCAGGCAAAUUUGCUGUGGGUGACAUGGGGUUAUCAAAAUCUGAGUUGCAUCAGAUAGCCAGGAUGAGAGCCAUCCUCUGUUGGAGCAUAUGAUGUUAUCAUAACAAAUGGUUCCUGAUGAAUCUAACUUGAAGGAUGUCUGAGAACUCUAUUGUUUCUGAAGCUUCAUCAGUCCCUGGGUUUUUUUUUUGUUGGUUCACCUGGGAGCAGAGUACAUGAUUAUGAAAGCAAUUUGGAGAACCCUAUCUGGUUUUUAAAAUGAAACUCUGGCGUAGACUGUGGGGAAGCUGCUCAGUUUGCAUGGGCUAUUAACACUUCGCUAUAUUAAGUUUGAAAUUAUUUUAUUUUUGUCAUACACAGGAUCUUUAAUAUGUUACUUAUUGCCUUGCUAUAGCUUUGUGCCAACUUGUUUGAGACAUAACAACUUGUUCGAGGCAUGGACAUUUUUAAGAUAACAUUGUAUAGGUAUGUCAAAAAGUCAUUGGCAA